rnacentral:rRNA from 1 species
GAUGAACGCUGGCGGCGUGCCUAAUACAUGCAAGUCGAGCGAAGCGGGGACGGGUGAGUAACACGUGGAUAACCUCCUAUAAGACUGGGCUAACUUCGGGAAACCGGAGCUCAUCCGGAUACUUAUCAAUGGAUCCACGCUGCAUUAGCUAGUGGGUAAGGUAACGGCUUACCAAGGAAACGAUGGAUAGCCGACCUGAGAGGUUUAUCGGACACACUGGAACUGAGACACGGUCCAGACUCCUACGGGAGGCAGCAGUGGGGAAUCAGCCGCAAUGGGCGAAAUCCUGACGGAGCAACGCCGCGUGAGUGAUGAAGGUCUACGGAUCGGAAAACUCUGUUAUUAGGGAAGCGGUACCUAAUCAGAAAGCCACGGCGAACUACGUGCCAGCAGCCGCGGUAAUUC